GUCCUGUUAGUAUAGUGGUUAGUACUCCACGUUGUGGUCGCUUACCAGUAUGGUAAUCAUAGCUCCGUGGUAACGCAGGCUCGAAUCCUGCACAGGACA